GUAGGUGAACCUGCGGAGGGAUCAUUACCGAGUGAGGGCCCUCGCGCCCGACCUCCAACCCUUUGUCGAUAUUAACUGUUGCCCCGGGGGGCGACCCGGCCGUCCGCGCCCGGGAGUCCCCCAGAGGACCAAUCAACCCUGCAUCUUUGCGUCGAGUAUUGAAUACAAAUCAAUCAAAACUUUUAACAACGGAUCUCUUGGUUCUG
rnacentral:misc_RNA from 1 species